UUUACAACAUUAUGUGGGUCAAUUAUGAGCCUGGACCAAUUUUCUUUGUACACAAGCCAAACUAACUAUGGAAAAAGGACAUUGAGCAUUAUUAAACCACUCAAAUAGAAAACUUAAUUGGAUAUUGUAUGCAUAAAUGAACACAAAUGUAAUGAACUACAGUGUGGUCUUAAAAUAGAAAUGAAAUUUCAUUUAGAAACUGUUAUAAUGCUCAUGACUUCACAUGUUUAACAGAGGCAGAAUUUUCGGGCAGAUUUCAACAAAUCUUAACUAAAUUUGAAUCAAAAACCACACUUGCAAAGAUUCAACAAGAUCCCAAUAACUCACAAAAAUAAUGUAAAUACACACUCUAUCUAUUCUUUCCAUAUUGUAACUCACUAAUGAAAUGGAGGUCUAUGCCGUAAACUUUAAACAGAAUCGAUAAAGAACGAUAGUCCAGGCUGGUUAAGUUAUGCUAAAAUAGUCGACAACUCAUUAUAGUCUAAAUUCAAACUCAAAAUAACCAUGGUACCAAUUUUAUCUACAGUAGAAUUUUCUGUCAGACACAACUAAACCAUCACUUAGUGUGCUCCCAAUAGUUUUCUGUCAGGAAAUAGAAAUGGUCUUACUUCUAAACUUGUAAGAAAUUAUAGGCAAUAAGAUACAAUCUUAAAGAAAUAAACCAAUGGGUACACAUGGGAUUCAAUCUGAAUCAUUCACAUCUUCGACAUUUAAAAUUGAUGCUCAAGGUUUCAGAGUAGUACCUGAAUACAAUAGUCAAUAACAAAUGAAAAUGAGGUUAGGAAUCAGCAGAAGUGAGAGGUUCAAUAACAGCAGCAAGUCAACACUUCGACACUUCAACUCAUAUCUUCCUUAGGCCAUUUUGAACCCAAAUCAACCAGAAAUCUUUCGAAAUCUUUUUUUAGUUACUACCAACAAUGAAAACAAAGGACAAUUUCCCUCAAAUAUAAACAAAAGAAAAAUGCAGAGCUUCUCUGUAUUUUUUAGAGUAUGAAUGGCUCCUCAAUAUGAAGAGAAAGAGAUCUUUAUAUAGGCAUGCCUAAGGCAGCCCUACCCUAGCUUACCAUUUCCCAUUUGGCCCCUUUAAUUCAAGAUCAUUUGACUCCUUUUAACCUUUUAAAAAUAUCUGAAAUCCCCUUCCCUUAACAAAACUGCUCUCAUCUUAUCCUCUAGAACUUUUCCCCAAUAGAAAACCAUUCCCUUAAACCCCAAAUGACCAAAAUGCCCCCUAACAUCCUUGUUUUUACGUUCACCAGACCAACCUGGGUGAAGUUAACCCAAAGUCCCAAACGAAUGUCUCUUACCCAGGUUAGCAAUAAACACAGUUAAUUCACAAAUCCAAACCAUCGCCAAUGAUUGAUCAAAGAAAAUCAAACUCAUAAAAAUAAAAACAAACAAUAAUUCAGAAUUUAUGAAUAAAGAUAAUUUAAACUACCAAAUAAGAUGGACUCUAUUAUUUAAAGUAAAAUAAUACAAAUAAAAAAAUGAAAUAAGUAGAAAUAGAAAUACAACAAUUAUCAAAAAUGAGGGGGAAAGAUAACGGAAAAUACCAAUUUACGUUGAAAUGUCUUGGAAAAUGACACAAUCGUCAAAUGUUGACGGAAAUAGACAUUUGGCCAAAAUUCGGCGAGCUCAUCACAAUCUGGUGACCUCGGAAUGAACUAAAUCCAACUCCAAUGGAUUGCUCAUGUCAAGGGCAAUUUACUGACGUAAGUUAUUGGUCAAAUCGAGCCAGAAUUCUAUGCAAAUUUAGAAAAUAGAAUAGUCUAGGGUUGAACUUCUUAGAUUUGGAACUGGGGACUUUCGUUGGGAUUUUUGAGAAAUAUAUGUGGGGAUAGGGUUUGAGAGAACCAAGGGGUGGCGUGGUACGAAUUUGAGGCAAUUGGAAGCUGUGCCACCACCGGAGCCAGUGAGGAUUUUUAACCGGCUCUAGGGUUUUGGGGGUCUAUGAAGAGGGGUGGGUUUGGGAGAGAUGAUGAAAAAAGGGGAGAUAACAUUUUUGGAUAUAUAAAUAUUGAGCCCGUCCCCACUGCCCGACCGUUCGAUCAAGG
rnacentral:lncRNA from 1 species